AUGUAUUCUGUUCGUUUAAGAUAAGCCAGCAAUAAAAGAGCGGUAAUAUCAUCCACAAUAGUGAGCUUUUUUGUUGUACUUAUUUUACGAGUUGGGACAUAGAUACGGGUGAAGUGUAACCAUCUGAGGUUAUAUGGUUUACCUAUGUCUUUUUAACGUUGAUAUGCAGACUAAAGCUCCCACUGCGGAUUUUAGUCUGCAUUUUUUAU
rnacentral:ncRNA from 1 species